UGGGGAAGUCUGAGCUUUGCCCUUAUCUGGGGUCUCCGGACACAAGGCUGUGUGUGCAGUGCAGGAGUCCGCAGGCAGUGUGGGGACGUGGCCGUUGCCAGCGGCCUGGGCGGCUGUAGCCUCCACCUGCAUCCCAUCAAUAGAUUCCCUUCACCCGCUUGUUGUCAGGGUCAAAGGGGGACUUCAGCUUCUUGCCUCUAACCCAUUCUCUCAAACCACACAGUACCCGCCCUUCCCUAGAGCCUCCAAUAGCUCCCAGUUACC
rnacentral:lncRNA from 1 species